AAAGAGAUGCAGUCUGAGCUCAGAUUAGAUUCAACUGCUCUGUUUAUUUGUCUUAGUGAAUGAUUUGUCUCUUCUUCUAGCAUGAUAAAUCCCAAGAAAGGAAAACACAACCUCCAAAAGCAGAGUGUACCUACCUGUGGAGUGGGAAUCACCUUAACUAACUUUAUCAGUUAUCUUCUCCAGGCUGUCUACGUUCCAUCUGCAGGCAAAGGAGAGAGGGAAGCAUUUCGAAAAGCUGAUUCAUCCCAUCCUGACUGUUUAAUGCAGGAUAACCACAAAAAGGGGUGCUGAGCAAAUGAUGUUUCUGAUCAGCAACAGGUAACACUGCCAGCCAUUGGAUCCUGCUGAAUAUCCACCCAGAGGAUCACCAGCAUCUUGGAAAUCUCAUGAUACUUCAAAGCACAGACUGGCAUCAUGUUGCAUGGUACCUAAAGGGUUCAAAUGGUUUGGAAGUUAAAUCACUUCCAUGGUUUCUGUGAUUUGCAUGUGAAAUUGAUUUUAUUGGAUUUAUUUGAUCAGGAAGCACAAGUGUUUCCCCAAGGAGUACAAAUAAACAUGUUACUAGAAACUGAGUAGAUGUGAUGAACCAUAAAUCUGGGAAGCGCUGGCUGAAUGUUAGCAAAUUUUAGAUACCUGCAGUUAUUUUUUAAGGUUUUAAUUUCCUGUAUCAGUUCAUGUUAGAGAAAAACACAACACUUUGAAAGGACAACUUGAAUGAAAUUCUGGUGGAUGCCAAACCCCAUCAUUUUCAGAAGUACAUUCCUGGCUUUGAAAGCUAUUAAUAUUUUGUACUUGAAACAUACAGACAUUGCUUCCUCUGACUGAUUAAUAAUUUUCUUUGAAAUGUUAACAUUUAUUAUUUAUCACUGAUCCCUAUUUAAAAGCCCAUUUUUCUCCUUCAGUUAUGACAGUGGAAAGCUCAAAUCUAUUACAGUGAAGCCUGCAGUCCUCAGCAGCUCUAAUUGCUUGGUUGUGGCCUGUGCCCCCCCUUGCCAUGCAAUGUCUUUAUACAGACAAAACGAGGCAGUACCAGCUGCUGAUGCACCUUCCAGGCCCUGUCAGGGGAUGUCACACCCCUUGAAGUGAGCUAGGUGAUCCUUGCCACGUCCCCUCCUCACCUCACACCUUCUGUGGUGUUUCUGGUGACUAUGUUAUCAGCUUAAAUGUCCUGAAAAUUAAACCUUUUUUCCCCCUUCUCAUUUCAUAGAACAAGUAGUGGGAACUUCAACUACACACUUAUUGUGGGUUCUCAUAAUGUCUGUGUGGCUUCAUCUUUUUUUAAAGCCCAUCAGCUCUCCUGGUGCUGCAAGGAGAGGCCAGCUCCAGAGGUCACUUUCAAGCAGACCUGGCUUUUAAUGGCAGAAAAAUAGGAGCGUCAUUCUUAUAAAAAGGAAUUAAUCUCACCUAAAUUUAGUUGGUAAAAAUUAGGUUUCUGGUCCCAUCCAGAUCCUUUUCUGGUCAGUGGAGAAGGACAUGCUCUUCCAGAGACUGAUUUAGUAAGACAAGCUCUGUUCUUGUUUCCUUGUCAAUAAAUUUUUUGAGAUAGGAGUAAUUUUUUUUAAUCAUAGCUGUCUACCAGUUCUAUGUGCAGGAUGAUAAACUGAUGACAACCACUAUAAAACAAAUUAAUCAGCCCAGUGUUAGUUCUUAGAUAUGAGUUUGUUAUAAGGAGGAGCCAAAGUUUCAGUGUUACACAAGUCCUUCAAUAAGAUGUGCAGAACUAAACCACAGGUAAUUAGAAUCUAAAUUAUCUCAUUGUCUAACAGUCAAGAUGAAAUACUUUCUUGUGAUUAGAUUCCCAGUUUAGGGGUGAAAUUGCUAUUAUUUGCAAGGUCCAAAAUCAAGGAAAAUGUAGCAAGCAAAGUAAAAAAUUCUACAAUAAAAAGUUGACACAGUUAUUUAAUGGAAAAAAUUUUGGUUUGGAAAACUAUCAUUAUUUGGGGUUUUUUUUCUAGUCACAUAAACAUUCAAAAAUUCAAGAAAAUAUUCUUGUUGGCCAGGAUGGAGAGUUCUCACAUAAGAAUUGGUGUUACUAUUUGUGGCUGUCACAGUGUUUAAUUGGUGUAUGUAAUUUCAGUUGCUUGGUAACAACAACUUAAGAAUUUCCACACCUCUGUGUAUUUAAAAUCUCAAUUGAAAAAUCAGAAAUCUCUUUAGAAAAGCAUCCAAAACAAAAAGAAGACAAGUAAAAGUGUUGAGCAUGGAAAUUUCACAAGUAUUUAGCAUUUUGUUCUAAUUUCCUGAAGCAAAAUUAAACACUGUAACUCCAUUAUUUUCCUAAAGGCUUUUUUUUGGUUUUUGGUGGUUUUUUGGGCAUGGAGCUCACAAAUAGAAAGCAAACUUCAUAACAAGAAAAUGGAAGCCUUGCCCCUAGUUCUAAAUUUGAUGGUUUCACCAAUUCCAGUGAAUUUGCUUGCCUUGGAGAGUCUUGACCUUCACCCAACAAGUUGAAAAGAACUCCUCACUCUUAUCAAUUAAAGGUAACUGUGGUUGCUCAGGCCUUGGGCCAUGGCAGGUAUAGAUACCAGGCUGUAAAUCACUAACUGUGGUCCACAUAUACCUGGAGUUAUUUCUGACUAAUUAUUGUUUUGAUCUAGAAGCACUCGCAGUUUUUUACUUUGCUAUUCUCCUUCAAAAUAUUCCUUCUAAUUUUCCUUUUCUAUGCCAUACGGCAUUUUUGAAGAGUUGACUGCUUGUCUGCUGGAAUUCCUUGUGAGGAACAGGGUCCAUGAUACUGCUUUUUCACACUCCUGUUAGUAUUUGCCUAAAGCCAUGUGCUCUUGCUCACCUUAAACCUAAUUUCUAAGUUUUUGAGGGUCUUUGCCACAUCCAUCACAAAAUGUUCUGGUCGCUGAAUAGAAUUUUGAGAAACCAUGGAUGUAAAUAAUAAAUGUCUUUUAUCUUUACAGAAAAUAA